GUGUAACUAACAGGUAUCAAACUCUUCUGUCAGUUAUGGUCUGUAGGACCCCCAUUAACAGUGGUAGUCUUAAUGCUCAUAUUGUGACCCUAUAUUUUAAACUUUCUUGUAAAAUUUAUCUCUUUUCACCUAGAAGCAAUCAAAUCCCAAACAGUGCUGUGAGCAGAGCCACACGUGGACACGCCAUUCUUCCGAGAACCCUUACAUCAACCUCAGGAGACGGUCCAACAGCUGUCCCUCCAGAUGACACCCCUUUUCAGCAGGAAGUAGUCAGAAAUAAUCAUCAUCCAACACCCCCUAACAGCAGUUAGGUUUACUUCUCUUGAGGGAGGAAUAAUACAGGAGUUAUUAAGAAAUUAUGUUAGGGAGAUAGGGUAAGGAGUCCUCGGAAAGGCUUUUCCUUUGAAAAGAAUCAGCUCCUGAAACAUUUCUUUUCUAAUAGAAAGGUGUGUUGAAAAGCCAGGCUGGCAAGCUUUGAUAUGUGAAUGCCAGCAAUUAGAAACUGGGUCCAUCCAACAUAGUGAUUCUCACCCUCUUCUCUUUGUCACCUUAUGUGCCAGGUGUCAUGGCCACCUCCAGAUGACUCCACACGCGCAGGAUGUCAUGGUGACCUGCAUUUCUGUAUUAAAACGCUAGGGUGGGAGGGCCAGGUUUUUCAUGGGCUGUGUGAAUGACACACCUGGUCAAACCAAUCCCCUAGGCCCUAUGCAAAUCAGACACCACCUCCAGCCUCCCAGUAUAACUGGCUACUUUUCUGCUGCAUACGGGGUUUUUCUCUGUUCGGAGCCCGCCUCCCUCUCUAUAUGGGGAUACUUUCUUCUUUCUUGCCUAUUAAACUUUCCCCUCCUUUAAACCACUCCACAUGUAUCCGUGUCAUUUAUCUAACUGGUGCAAGACAAAGGACCCCGCUGUUUCUCUAGUUAUCAAAGACAUAUCAGGAAGAUUCUGAGGAUGUGUUUUCAUAGGACACCUGUCCAUAUUUGGAAAGAAGUUUAUGAAUUUCAAGUUUGGAAUGAUCUGGUAACCUGUCUCUACCGGCCUCAUCCCAGCAGUCUUCACUUUCAACACUCACAGAGAGGCUGUCCAGGCCACUACUAGUGUAAACUGUUCUGCCCAAGUUCCUACCAGUUUUACCCUUGAUGGCACCUCAGUUAAGUGUGUGCUGCUUUCUGUCCCAGUGUGCCUGCAGGAGCCUACUCAACACUCACACACAGAGACUAAAACAACUUUACCAGAUUGAAACACUCAAGACAAAGGAGCCCAGGAAGCAAAAUUCAUCAGAAAACUAGAGGAAGUUUUCAUGGAGUUGCUAUGAGUUAGAAACUUUUAAUGAAUCCGGUUGUAUUGUUUACCAAGUUAAGAUCCUCUCAGAUGUCAGGAGAUAGAUGUGUAGAUGUCAGCUUAUAAAAUACAACUUUGGUGUGAUAGCAGAAAUAUAAGAGGCUUGAAUCCCUCCAUGCCAACAGAUAAUGAAGGAGGCCUGAGAUAAGUUGGAAGAAAAACUGGCUACAAAGAGGGAUAGCAUUUUUUUUUGUUGUUAAAUCAAAUAUUUAUGAGACUGGGCUUUGAUUUCCCCAUGGUUUAACAAUUCAAGGGAAAGAUAAUUUUUGAGAGAUACUUAAGGUAUUGGAGUAAUUCAGAUAACUGUACCUUGUAUGAAAAUAAUUAAUCACUAGAGUUUGGAAUGCAUACAAAUUGUGGUGGGAAUAGAAUAAAUUUUGCAAUGUUAAU
rnacentral:lncRNA from 1 species